GCUGGGAUUACAGGUGUGAGCCACUGCCCCUAGCCAACCUCUACUUUCUUAAAAGCAGGGGUGUGAUAACAGCUGCUUCCCAGUCGACUGGAAUGUCCACACAAAUUAAAAACUGAAACAGUAUCUCCAUCAACUGAAAGAAAACAGUAAAAAGAAAGUAGGUGAUGACAUUUCUCAUCAGUUACAUUCUUCUGAAUUUAAUUAGUGCCAGGGAAACUGAAACUAUGGUUAUACCUAAGAUAAGGCAAACAUUUGAAGAAGGAGUAAAGGAAAGAUUAAUUUUGCAGCUGUCUCAGGGUCUGGUGGAGGGCUGAUGGAUGUCACCCUGUCUUUGUUUUGCACCGGGGAAAGUAAGCUUGUAAUCAGUGCUGUCAGGAUGAAAUUCAACAGCCUGGACAAGGGGUCAGAUAGAGCUUGCAAACCUAAGGUUACCUAUCUUUGUUUAUGGAGGCUGGACAUCUUGGAAAGAUUUAGGGGUAAGCAAAUAAUUUACAUAUGAACAAUUUGUGAGGGCGAUCAUCUGGAGAUGUGUGAGGGCUUUUAUUUUUUUUUCCUUUUUGUAGGCAUCUGGGUAAUGUACAAUGCUUAACCACUUAAGACAAUCAGGAAGCAACAGCCAUGCAUUUGGGAAAUGAAUUUCAGUACUGUGUGGCUCAGUCUCCAGACCUAACUUUCCCUUUGCUACAGACGCGGUGGCACUUGCCUGUAAUCCCAACACUUUGGGAGGCCGAGGCAGGAGGAUCACUCGAGCCCAGAAGUUUAAGACUAGCGUGAGCAACAAAGAAAAAGCAAUAUAUAGAAAGUGCUUGGCUUAGCACUUUGUACAUUACAGUUCCCGGUCUGAGUUUGCCCUUGUCAUUCGAUCCUUCCCUGGCGCCGGGUCCAGGAGGACCUGGUUCUUAGGCAGCAUCUGUGUCUUUGUUUUGUAAGACACACAAGAGUGUCCUUAACCCACUGCAG